UGGGGAAUAUUGGACAAUGGGGGCAACCCUGAUCCAGCAAUGCCGCGUGGAUGAAGAAGGUCUUCGGAUUGUAAAGUCCUUUCGGCGGGGACGAUGAUGACGGUACCCGCAGAAGAAGCCCCGGCUAACUUCGUGCCAGCAGCCGCGGUAAUACGAAGGGGGCUAGCGUUACUCGGAAUGACUGGGCGUAAAGGGCGCGUAGGCGGUUUGCUUAGUUAGGCGUGAAAUUCCUGGGCUCAACCUGGGGGCUGCGCUUAAUACAGGCAGACUGGAGUGCGGAAGAGGGUCGUGGAAUUUCCAGUGUAGAGGUGAAAUUCGUAGAUAUUGGAAAGAACACCGGUGGCGAAGGCGGCGACCUGGUCCGUUACUGACGCUGAGGCGCGAAAGCGUGGGGAGCAAAC
rnacentral:rRNA from 1 species